rnacentral:rRNA from 1 species
GACGAACGCUGGCGGCUUGCUUAACACAUGCAAGUCGAACGGAAAGGCCCUGCUUUUGUGGGGUGCUCGAGUGGCGACCGGGUGAGUAACCCGUGAGUAACCUGCCCUUGACUUUGUGAUAACUUCAGGCAACUGGGUCUACUCCCGGCUAGGAUCUCUUGCUGCCUGGUGGGGGUUGGAAAGUUUCGGCGGUUGGGGAUGGACUCGCGGCGUAUCAGCUUGUUGGUGGGGUAGUGGCUUACCAAGGCCUUGACGGGUAGCCGGCCUGAGAGGGUGACCGGCCACAUUGGGACUGAGAUACGACCCAGACUCGUACGGGAGGCAGAAGUGGGGAAUAUUGCACAAUGGGCUGAAGCCUGAUGCAGCAACGCAGCGUGGGGGAUGACGGCCUUCGGGUUGUAAAGCGCAGUCGCCUGUGACGAAGCGUGAGUGACGGUAAUGGGUAAAGAAGCACCGGCUAACUACGUG